rnacentral:rRNA from 1 species
AUUGAACGCUGGCGGCAGGCCUAACACAUGCAAGUCGAGCGGAUGAAGGGAGCUUGCUCCUGGAUUCAGCGGCGGACGGGUGAGUAAUGCCUAGGAAUCUGCCUGGUAGUGGGGGAUAACGUCCGGAAACGGGCGCUAAUACCGCAUACGUCCUGAGGGAGAAAGUGGGGGAUCUUCGGACCUCACGCUAUCAGAUGAGCCUAGGUCGGAUUAGCUAGUUGGUGGGGUAAAGGCCUACCAAGGCGACGAUCCGUAACUGGUCUGAUAGGAUGAUCAGUCACACUGGAACUGAGACACGGUCCAGACUCCUACGGGAGGCAGCAGUGGGGAAUAUUGGACAAUGGGCGAAAGCCUGAACCAGCCAUGCCGCGUGUGUGAAGAAGGUCUUCGGAUUGUAAAGCACUUUAAGUUGGGAGGAAGGGCAGUAAGUUAAUACCUUGCUGUUUUGACGUUACCAACAGAAUAAGCACCGGCUAACUUCGUG